AGCUGGCGGCGUGCCUAUACAUGCAAGUCGAGCGAAUGGAUUAAGAGCUUGCUCUUAUGAAGUUAGCGGCGGACGGGUGAGUAACACGUGGGUAACCUGCCCAUAAGACUGGGAUAACUCCGGGAAACCGGGGCUAAUACCGGAUAACAUUUUGAACCGCAUGGUUCGAAAUUGAAAGGCGGCUUCGGCUGUCACUUAUGGAUGGACCCGCGUCGCAUUAGCUAGUUGGUGAGGUAACGGCUCACCAAGGCAACGAUGCGUAGCCGACCUGAGAGGGUGAUCGGCCACACUGGGACUGAGACACGGCCCAGACUCCUACGGGAGGCAGCAGUAGGGAAUCUUCCGCAAUGGACGAAAGUCUGACGGAGCAACGCCGCGUGAGUGAUGAAGGCUUUCGGGUCGUAAAACUCUGUUGUUAGGGAAGAACAAGUGCUAGUUGAAUAAGCUGGCACCUUGACGGUACCUAACCAGAAAGCCACGGCUAACUACGUGCCAGCAGCCGCGGUAAUACGUAGGUGGCAAGCGUUAUCCGGAAUUAUUGGGCGUAAAGCGCGCGCAGGUGGUUUCUUAAGUCUGAUGUGAAAGCCCACGGCUCAACCGUGGAGGGUCAUUGGAAACUGGGAGACUUGAGUGCAGAAGAGGAAAGUGGAAUUCCAUGUGUAGCGGUGAAUGCGUAGAGAUAUGGGAGGAACACCANUGGCGAAGGCGACUUUCUGGUCUGUAACUGACACUGA
rnacentral:rRNA from 1 species